GCGGCCGCUUCCCAACUAGGGCGGGGCAGGGCGAGGGCGAGGCCCGCUUCCCACGCGCCGGGCGCCCGAGCCGCCGGUCCUGGCCCUGCAGGCGUCGCCUUUGCUCGCGUCACGCACGGCGAAGUACAGGGAUCCUUCGGGGCCCGAGGGUGCUGCUUUACUAACUUGCCCUUUCUGCCGUUUUGGCUUUCAGCAUUUCCUGUGUUACAUCUGCAAGGAAUACGUAGAGGAUCUGGCCAAAAUCCCCAAGAGUUUCUUACAAGAAGCAAAUGUCACCCUUAUAGUGAUUGGACAGUCAUCCUACCAUCAUAUUGAGCCUUUUUGCAAACUGACUGGAUAUUCUCAUGAAAUCUAUGUCGAUCCUGAGAGAGAAAUUUAUAAAAGAUUGGGAAUGAAAAGAGGUGAAGAAAUUGCCUCCUCAGGACAGAGCCCCCACGUAAAAUCAAAUCUACUCUCA
rnacentral:sRNA from 1 species